GCAGUCGACGGCAGCACGGGAGCAAUCCUGGUGGCGAGUGGCGAACGGGUGAGUAAUACAUCGGAACGUGCCCAAUCGUGGGGGAUAACGCAGCGAAAGCUGUGCUAAUACCGCAUAAGAUCUACGGAUGAAAGCAGGGGAUCGCAAGACCUUGCGCGAAUGGAGCGGCCGAUGGCAGAUUAGGUAGUUGGUGAGGUAAAGGCUCACCAAGCCUUCGAUCUGUAGCUGGUCUGAGAGGACGACCAGCCACACUGGGACUGAGACACGGCCCAGACUCCUACGGGAGGCAGCAGUGGGGAAUUUUGGACAAUGGGCGAAAGCCUGAUCCAGCCAUGCCGCGUGCAGGAUGAAGGCCUUCGGGUUGUAAACUGCUUUUGUACGGAACGAAAAGUCUCUUUCUAAUAAAGAGGGAUCAUGACGGUACCGUAAGAAUAAGCACCGGCUAACUACGUGCCAGCAGCCGCGGUAAUACGUAGGGUGCAAGCGUUAAUCGGAAUUACUGGGCGUAAAGCGUGCGCAGGCGGUUAUAUAAGACAGUUGUGAAAUCCCCGGGCUCAACCUGGGAACUGCAUCUGUGACUGUAUAGCUAGAGUACGGUAGAGGGGGAUGGAAUUCCGCGUGUAGCAGUGAAAUGCGUAGAUAUGCGGAGGAACACCGAUGGCGAAGGCAAUCCCCUGGACCUGUACUGACGCUCAUGCACGAAAGCGUGGGGAGCAAACAGGAUUAGAUACCCUGGUAGUCCACGCCCUAAACGAUGUCAACUGGUUGUUGGGUCUUCACUGACUCAGUAACGAAGCUAACGCGUGAAAGUUGACCGCCUGGGGAGUACGGCCGCAAGGUUGAAACUCAAAAGGAAUUGACGGGGAACCCGCACAAGCGGUGGAUGAUGUGGUUUAA
rnacentral:rRNA from 1 species